UCCUCUUGUUUUCUUCAUCCUUGAUUCUGGUAGGGCAUGCAUGCAUGUUAUAAUCCAGGUGCUUGCAGUACAAACAAUAAUGAGAGAUAUUUUCAUAUUAGAUUUCAAGCCAUUUCCCUUCUCCAUUAUCAUCAUGAUUGUCAUCAAACCCCAGCCACACAUGAUGAGGCCUAGAUCUGGUCAAGUCAAACUCUACUUUAACUUUGACCACACUUUUUCUAAUCUUUUGAAAGGAUGCUAAGUCAAAAUGCAAAAUUGUUCCUACGGGAGAUAAGAGACCUAUGAGAAUCUCCAUGUAGUAGAAAUUCCAAGGUAGUUCUGGUUUAACAACCCAUAUAGGAACUAUAGGUGAGCCUUUAGUGGGAUUGAAAGUAGGAGUCCAGGCUUCCAAUUUCAUCUUUGCCCUUAUAUGUACAUGAAUUGUCUAGUCCAAACAGUGAAAUGAUCAUACUCAUUGCCUAAAUCAAUGUUGACGGUUCUAGCAUUGAACUGAGCAAUUUUAACUCCUCCUUGUAGUUUAGUUUGAGCCACAAAAUUUCUUCUGAUAACUUCCAUCCUAGGCAUAAUAUUAGAGAACAUUGCAACCACAAUGAAUUUACAUCUAGUUUCAAGUUUAACCAUGUGAUCUUCUCUAGUGAAGUGGACAAAAGGCUAGCUUUGCUUUGUGGUGAUCCUUGGAGGUGUGAACUCUAUAGGUUCUCUUUCUGCUUCAUGUCUAGCUCUGAGUUUGUUAACAUAUGAAUUGUAACAAUGGGUGGUAGGGGUGGAUUGGUGAUUAGCUCUUUAGGUUUGGAGUUGUCUUCAGGAUUUUGUGGUUUGGUAUAGUUGUUACUGGAGUUGAUUUCCGAGAGGGCUAUUGUAUGUGAGUUUUUGGAUUGACUGUUGUUAUGACCCGACCAAUAAUUUUGAGAAUUUGUGUCACAUUCAGUGGUUUAAGGUCUCGAGCAGCUUCGUAUCAUAUAUUAUGACUUGUGUGUGUGGUCAAGUUCGGUUUUCGAAUGAUUCGGGAUUGAUUUGGAAAAAUAAUUUUUAUUGUAGAAGCUUAAGUGAAAAGAGUUUACCGGAGUUUGAAUUUUGUGUAGACGACUCCGGAAUGGUAUUUUAAUGAUUCCAAUAGCUUCGUAUGAUGAUUUUGGACUUAGGCGUAUGCCCGGAUUUGGAUUUGGAGCUUAGUAGGUUGAUUUGAUGCAUUUUGGCGAAAGUUGAAAAAUUGAAAUGUUUGACCGGGAGUUGACUUUGUUGAUAUCGGUUCGGAUUGCGAUUAUGGGAGUUGAAAUAGCUUCGUUAUGUCAUUUAGGAUUUGCAUGCAAAAUUUGACGUCAUUCCGGGUUGAUUUGAUAUGAUUCUGCAUGAGUCAUAGAAGUUGAAAGUUAAUAAGUUCAUUAAGUUUGAUUUGAGGUGCGAUUCGUAGUUUUGAUGUUGUUUGAUGUGAUUUGAGACCUCGAGCAAGUCCGCAUUAUGCUAUGGGACUUGUUGGUAUGUUAGGACGGGGUCCCGAGGGGCUCGGGUGAGUAUCGGGGUGGUUUAGACCAUUUCUAGGUCAUUUUUAGUUGCUGGUUUUUGACCACAGGGGUAUGCAUCGUGAUCGCGGACAUUGGGUCGCGUUUGCGAAGAGCAAUUUUGCUAUUUGGGCACUGUGAAUCGCGAUCACGGAAGCACUUUCACGAUAACGUUGAGGAAAAUUCUGCUACACUGACCUGACUUUGGCAGCUUAUAUCUUGCAAUCUAUAAGGAAUUUGGAGAUGAUCUAAAAAUAAAAGUUCUUGCCCUUUAUGUCUAGUUUUCAGAAAAUUAAACCGUUUGGCAUUUCGAGUUGUGUAAAAAAGGUAUAAACUACAGGCUAUCUAGGAAGAGUUUUGAAAUCGUUGUUGAAGAAUUUAUCCAUCCUCACUUUGGAAGCUUAUAUCUUGCAAUCUAUAAGGAAUUUAGAGAUGACCUAAAAAUGAAAGUUGUAGCCCUUCGUGUCUAGUUUUCGAAAAAUCAAAUUUUGGUCAUUUGGAUUUUUGCAAAAAAUGUUAUGGCUAUUAUACUACAUGCUGUCUGAGAAGCAUUUGGGAAGAGUUAAUAGAAUUUGUUCAUCGCGAUGCGGGGAAAUGGCCGUGAUCGCAUAGAGUAAAAUUGUUCUGGAAAAUUUGUGCUUCGCGAUCGUGAAGGGUAAAUCCCUGGGCAGCAGAACUUAAGUUCUGAAAAUGAGAUUUCGUCUCAUUUUUCUAUUUUUGGAAUUUUUAGCUCAGUGUGAGGCGAUUUCUCGGGAUAUUUUCAAGGAAUACAUUGGGGUAACAAUUCCUAACUCGAUUUUGGUUAAAUUACACUAAUCAAUUGUUAUUUUUAUUGACAAAUUAGUGAAUUGGGUUGAAAAUGGUAGAAUUUUUCUAGACUUUAAAUUGAGGAUUUGGAGGUCGAGUUAAUGUCGAAAUUUGGUAAAUUUGGUAUGGUUGGACUCGUGGUUGAAUGGGCGUUCGUAUUUUAUAACUUUUGUCGGAUUUCGAGGCAUGGGCCUCAUGUUGACUUUCGGGUUGACUUUUUAGUCUUAAAUUAAAAGGCAAAGUUUUAUUAAUCGAAAUUGUUUCCUAUGAAUUUUAAUGAUGUUAUGAAAUUAUUUUUGGCUAGAUUUGAGCCGUCCAGAUGUCGUUCAACGCGAGAAACCCAUUUUGGAGUAUCGACUAACUUCGUAAAGGUAAGUAUCUUGCCUAACCUUAUGUGAGGGAUGUACCCCUUAGGGAUUGAGUCUUAUGUGAAAUUUGUGUAAUGUGAAAGUCGUGUACGUGAAGUGACAAGUACGUACUCGGGCUUAUAUGUGCAAAUUUUAUCGGUUUAAGCUCUUAGGCUUCUUUUAUGUAUAAAUUGGAGAUCAUGGGCACACAUUAUAUCCUUUAUUUGCCAUGUUCAUCAUUACAUGCUUUAUCUAUAAAUCGUUGUUACCUGCCGCAUUCUUUACUGGCCAAGUUUGUUUUUAUAUGCUUAUUUGGACUUGAUACUACUUUAGCAUCUACAUGAAACCUGUGAUUGUUGAGUUGCCACUUUGUGGAAGAUAUUUUCAUUAUUGAGUUUUUCCUUAAUUAAAUAAUUGGAAUUUAAGUAAUUAAGAGGCAUUAGUUUAAUUUAUUUGAGGUUGUGUUUAAAAGAGAUAUUGUUGUUAUUGAGAUUUUAUAUAUGUCGUGUUGAGUCGUGGGCUAUCUAUUGUGAAAUUAUUUGAUAUCGUUGAACCUUUGGAAAGGUUGUGGCCCACAGAAAUUUGUAAUACGAGUUGAUUAUGUGGUGUUGUUAUGAUAAUAGCACGUGUGAAUUGUUGUGUGAUUUGUAUUAUUGCUUUGCUGAGUAUAAGAGUGGCAUUCCAUUGUUGUAAUUAUGCGGGGCAUAAGGGUGGCAUUUCAAUAUUGUUUUAUGUGUUUUAAUGUUGUCCGGGCGGAGUGAUAACGGUAGCUAUUAUACGAAGUGAUAAGGGAGGCUAUUAUACAGAGAGAUAAGAGUGGUUAUAGGAUAGAUAAGGGUGACUAUUGAUAUUGUUUGGGCGGAGUGAUACAGGUGGCUAUAAGAGAGAUAAGGGUGGCAAUGUUAGGGAUGAUAUGUGAUGAUGUGGGGUUAUUGUGUUAGUGAUUUUUAUGUGAUGGUGUUGCAUUAUUGUGUUGGUGAUUUUGUAUGAUGUUGUGAUUGUCCUUGUGUUUGUUAUACACCUUGUGUAACUUGACUUGUGUUUUCGGUUAGCUACACCUGAGUUGUCCGUGCGAUUUUGAAAGAGAUAUGGGCACGAGGUGCCGUGAAAAUAAGAAAGUAGGUUGAGACUCGUGUUUUAUGAUUAUGAGAUGAGGUAUCACGGAGUGACUUUGUUGUGGAAAAACUUGUAUUUGAAACACUUGUUUAAUUGACUGUACUUGUAUUCCUUAUUUGGUUGGACAAUAUUUAUGGUGUUCUUAUUGCUUUGUUGUUUACAUUACUGGUUGUUUCUUGUUGCCAUCACUACUAUUUGUUUUCCAUUAUUAUCGUAUAUUGCUAUAUUGCACAGUUUAUUUGACUAGUGAGUGACUUGACUCUACCUCGUCACUACUCUACCGAGGUUAGUCUUGAUACUUACUGCGUACCGACUGUGGUGUACUCAUACUACACUUCUGCAUAUAUUUGUGCAGAGUCAGGUAUUGGAGAUAUCGGACUCAGGAAGAGUUAUUGUGUUGAUCGCAAGGAUUCAAGGUAGAGCUGCUUGGUCGUUGCAGUCCCUUGGAGUCUUUCCAUUUUAUUGUACUGUCAAAUAUUAUUCAAACAAUAAUGUAUAUCCAAUCCUUGAGAUCAUUUCAUGUAUUCAGUUAGAGUUCAUGACUCAGUAUUACCAGUCUUGGGAGGUUGUUAUAAUUGUUUCCGUUUUUGGUUUCGAAACUUCUAUUAAAUUCUAUUUUAAAAAAUGACUUGAAUUGUUAUUGUAAUCAGCUUAUCUAGUCUUAGAGACUAUGUGCCAUCAUGAUGCUUGUGGUGGGAUUUUGGGUCGUGACAAGUUGGUAUCAGAGUCUUAGGUUCAUAGGUUCUACGAGUCACCAACUAGUUUAGUAGAGUCUUGCAGAUCAUUACGGAGAUGUCUGUACUUAUCUGUGAGAGGCUACAAAACUAUUAGGAAAUUUCCACUUCUUUCACUCCUUUCGUGCGAAUUUGUUGAUUUUUGAGUUUGAGCCCUUAUAUCUCUAUUCUCACACAGAUGGUGAGGACACGCGCUACCAGGUCAGCUGGACAGACACCCGCGCAACCUACUAGAGCCGAGAGAGGCCGUGGACGAGGUAGAGUUCAGAGAAGGGCACAUGUCGCAGCUAGAGCACCUGUCAAAGCAGCAGUUGAGGAACUGCCAGUAGCUCCGGUUGGGGGACAGGUACCUGAAGCACCUGUUGUUACCCUCGGACUUUAGGAGACUUUAGCACAGUUCCUGAGCAUGUUUGGUAUAUUGACUCAGGCGGGAUUGAUCUCUGUUGCACCAAAUAUUUCACAGAUUGGGAAAGUAUCUCAGACUCCUAGCGCGUGUACUCCAGAUCAGCGGGUUCACAUUGUUCCGGUUCCGGUUGUGGUGCUGGUACAACCUGUUAUUCCGGUUCAGCCUGAGAUUAGGCCAGGGGCAUCAGAAGAGGAUCAAAAGAGGCUUGAGAGCUUCAAAAGGUAAAGUCCACCUACUUUUCGUGGAACGGCUACCGAGGAUGCUCAGGGAUUUCUAGAAAAAUGUCACUGUAUUCUUUGCACCAUGGGUAUUGUGGAUGUGAGCGGAGUUGCCUUUACUACAUUUCAGCUGUCAGGAGCAGCAUAUCAAUGGUGGCAAGUUUAUAAAGAGGGCAGACCAGCCGAUGCAACACCACCCACUUGGGCUCCAUUUUCAGAGAUAUUUUUGAGGGAGUUUGUUCCUCAGACCCUCCGGGAUGCAUGGGGCACAAAGUUUGAACGGUUGUGCCAGGGCACCAUGACGGUGUCGGAAUAUGCCAUCAAUUUCAGUGAGUUAACCCGUCAUGCACCUACUUUAGUUCUUACACUCAGAGAGCGAGUCUGCAGAUUCAUUGAGGGGAUCAGUUAUGAUCUUAAAAUCUGCAUGGCUCGAGAGUUGCAGACUAAUACUCCAUUCCAGCAAGUUGUGGAGAUUUCAAGGAUGUUAGAGCAUGUUCGGGGUGAGGAAAGGGAGUCUAAGGAGGCCAAGAGGUCUCGAAGUUCUGGAGGAUUCAGUGGAUUCUACUCUGCAGGUAUGACUCAUUAUGGCAGAGGCUCGGACAAUCAGCCAGCCUAAUUCGCGCUUCAGACUACUCGUGGUACUCAAGUUAGUCAGGGUACUCAUGUGGGGUAGUCAUCUUUUAGUUCACCACCGGCACGGGAUUCUUACAGUAGUUAUUCCAGUUAUACGGCACAAACUCAGUAUGAGCAGCCGCGCCCGCAGAGGGGUUGUUAUGAGUGUGGUGAUACUAGGCACAUCAUGAGAGAUUUUCCCAGACUUGAGAGAGGUGGAUUUCAUCAAAGCACUCAAGCUACAGGCUCUGUUCCAGUUAAUACUCCACCUGCACAACCAGUUAGGGGUGGAGGACAGGCUGGUAGAGGGCGCCCUAGAGGGAUAGGCUUGGCCCAUUGAUAUAAUUUCUAUGGGAUGGCUGAGGCCACUACACCAUAUGGUGUUGUUAUCAGUAUGAUUUUGAUGUGCUAUAGAGGAGCACUAUUCUUAUUUUGAUUCAGUUCUGAUUAUCGAGGUGAGACCUCCUAUCAUGCUCCACAUUUGGUGAGUUUCGUGAGUUUGUACUCCGCUCAUGUGUUUAUCCAUGUUGGGAGAUUCUGUAGUGUUAGCCCAUGUCUAUCCUUUUGUUUAUGUUCACUACUGAGAGCUAUGAGGCUAGAAGUGACUUUUUGUUACUCAAUACAGUUAUUUUGAUGUGAUUUUCGGAUGAUUCGAUUGUAAAUUAUGAUUUAAAUGCCUACCGGUAUGGGGGCUCAUUAUGUAUUAUGAUUUUUGUUUAACAAAAAUAAUGGAAGGUUUUGAUUACUUUAUUACUUGUGAUUCAGAGUUAAGGAUGGGACCCUCGCGUUCCAUAUGGUUUGAUAUGUUUGAUCCGGGCUACGUACCGCGGGAAGUUAUAUCAGGAUGACAUCCUUGUGGUUAAUUCAUGUGUUUUAAUUCUCCCUUGUGAAAUUGAUUUGUAUUAUAGUACAGAUAUAGAGUUAUGCCUUUUGGGCUUAUUUGAUAGUUCUCUUAUGUGUUUCUCUUUGCAUAAUUAGUCAUAUUUGCGUUGUGUUUAUUGGGAUUUAGCUUAUGAAGUGUGUUCCUAGAUGGCAUUAAAAGUGACUCAUUGAUUCGGAUGAAUAAUUACAAGGUCUUCAGGUUUCUUACAUCGUUGUCAGUAUUGUGAUGGUUUGAAACAAGGUUUAACGUAAGAUGUGGUUAAUUGUCGGUGUUGUAUUUUGAUUAUGGGCAGUUAUUGUGGACAGAGUUAUUAUUAUGGGCCUAUGUAUGAUGUGUUACGUUAUGUGAUUGUGUCAUGCGAGAGUAGGCAUGAAUUGUUAUAACUGGUUUAGGCUGAUAUCGUGUGUUGAUGUGGAAAUCGGGUCUUUUAGAAAUGAUCAGAUAGUGAGAAAUAUGGUUUUAAGGUUUAUGAGUGUGGAUAGUAGAAAUAAUCUUCAAUUGAGAUGGUGUUAUCAGACUUAUUUCGAUUGGGGUGACAUGGGAUCACCCGCGAGUAUAUGUGUAAGAGUACGUUCAGUUAUUUGAUAACUUCGAAAUGGUUCCUAACACGUUCGAGUACAAACGAUUGUUUAAGAGGGGGAGAAUGUAACGAUCCGACCGGUCAUAUUUAGAAUUUACGUCUUAUUCAGCGGUUUGAGGGAUCGAGUAGCUUCAUAUCAUGUAUUAUGACUUAUAUGUGUGGUCGAGUUCGGUUUUCGGAUGAUUCAGGGUUAAUUUGGAAGAACAAUUAUCGUUUUAGAAGCUUAAGUUAAAAGAGUUGAUCGGAGUUUGACUUUUGUAUAGACAACUCCGGAAUGGUAUUUUGAUGAUUCCAAUAGUUUCGUAUGGUGAUUUUGGACUUAGGCAUAUGUCCGGAUUUGGAUUUGGAGGUUAGUAGGUGGAUUUGAUGCAUUUUGGCGUAAGUUGAAAAGUUGAGAGGUUUGACCGGGAGUUAACUUUGUUGAUAUCGAGUUCGGAUUGCGAUUCCGGGAGUUGAAAUAGCUCCAUUAUGUCAUUUGGGACUUGAAUGCAAAAUUUGACGUUAUUCUGGGUUGAUUUGAUAUGAUUCUACACGAGUCGUAGAAGUUCAGUGUUCAUAAGUUCAUUAUGUUUGAUUUGAGGUGCGAUUCAUAGUUUUGAUGUUGUUUGAUGUGAUUUGAGGCCUCCAGCAGGUCCGCGUUAUGUUAUGGGACUUGUUGGUAUGUUAGGACGGGGUCCCGAGGGGCUCAGAUGUGUUUCGGGGUAGUUUCGGACCAUUUCUAGGCCAUUUUUAGUUGCUGGUUUUUUUUCCACAGGGGUAUGCAUCGGGAUCGCGGACAUUGGGUCUUCGCGAAGAGCAAUUUGGCUGUUUGGGCACCUUGAAUCGCGAUCGCGGAAGCACUUUCGCGAUCGCGUAGAGGAAAAUUCUGCUGCACUGACCCGAGUUUGGAAGCUUAUAUCUUGCAAUCUAUAAGGAAUUUGGAGAUGAUCUUAAAAUGAAACUUGCAGCCCUUUGUGUCUAGUUUUUAGAAAAUCAAAUGGUUUGGCAUUUGGAGUUGUGUAAAAAACGUUAUGGUGGAUAUACUAAAGGUUGUCUGAAAAGAGCUUGGAAAUUACUGUUGAAGAAUUUGUUCAUCCUGACUUUGGAAGCUAAUAUCUUGCAAUCCAUGAGAAAUUUGGAGAUAACCCAAAAAUGAAAGUUGUAGCCCUUCGUUUCUCGGGAGAUUUUCAAGGAAAACAAUGGAGUAAGAAUUCCUAACUCGAUUUUGGUUAAAUAACGCGAAUCUAUUGUUAUUUUUAUCAACAAAUUAGUGAAUUGGGUUGAAAAUGGUUGAAAUUUUCAAGACUUUAAAUUGAGGAUUUGGAGGUCGAGUUGAUGUCAGAAUUUGGUAAAUUUGGUAUGCUUGGACUCGUGGUUGAAUGUGCAUUCGUAUUUUGUAACUUUUGUCAUUGUUAAUCAUUGUUACCUGCCUCAUUCUUUACUUGCCGAGUUUGUUUUUAUAUGCUUAUUUGGACUCGUUACUACUUUAACAUCUAUGUGAAACCUGUGAUUGUUGAGUUGCCACUUCAUGAAAGAUAUUUUCAUUAUUGAGUUUUUCCUUAAUUAAAUAAUUGGAAUUUAAGUAAUCAAGAGGCAUUAGUUUAUUUUACUUGAGGUUGUGUUUAAAAGAGAUAUUGUUGUUAUUGAGAUUUUAUAUACGUCGUGUUGAGCCGUGGGCUAUCUCUUGUGAAAUUGUUUGAUAUCGUUGAACCUUUGAAAAGGUUUUGGCCUACGAGAAUUUGCAAUACGAGUUGAUUAUGUUGUGUUGUUGUGAUAAUAGCAUGUGUGAAUUGUUGUGUGAUUUGGAUUAUUUAUUUGCGGAGUAUAAGGGUGACAUUCCACUGUUAUGAUCAUGUGGGGUAUAAGGGUGGUAUUUCACUGUUGCUAUAUGUGUUUUAAUAUUGUCUGGGCGGAGCGAUAAGCGUGGCUAUUAUACGGAGCGAUAAAAAGGCUAUUAUACGGAGCUAUAAGGAAGGCUAUUGAUAUUAUCUGGGCAGAGUGAUAUGAGUGGCUAUAGGAGAGAUAAGUGUGGCAAUGUCAGGGAUGAUAUGUGAUGAUGUGUGGUUAUUGUGUAAGUGAUUUUUAUGCGAUGAUGUGAUGUUAUUGUGUUGGUGAUUUUGUAUGAUGUUGUGAUUCUCCUUGUGUUUGUUAUACACUUUGCGUAACUUAACUUGUGUUUUCGGUUAGCUAAUUGAUAUCCUUGAUAUUCUCUUAUUGAUUUGGGUUUUAGUAAUAUACUUGCACAUGCAUACACUGUAGCAUGCCACCUAUACUAGCCCACAAGUACGUAACCUGAUAAUUAUCUGAUUCGUGUUGAAAUUGUGGGCACGAGGUGCCUUGAGUAUAUAAUGAUUAUGUUAUUGGCACGUGAACUGUCCGUGCAGAUGUGAUAUGAAAUGUUGGCACGAGGUGUCGUGAGUAUAUAAUGAUUAUGAUAUUGGCACGUGAACUGUCCGUAGAAUUGUGAUAUGAGAUGUGGGCAUGAGAUGCCGUGAGUAAAUGAUGAUUUUAUUAUUGGCAUGUGAGUUGUCCAUGCAGUUUUUAUAUGUUGAUAUUUUAGAACGUGAGUUGUCCGUACGGUUGUGAUAGAGAUAUGGGCACGAGGUGCCGUGAAAAUAUGAAAAUGGGCCGAGACCCGUAUUUUAUGAUUAUGAGAUGAGGUAACACGGAGUGCCUUUGUUGUGGAAAAACUUGUAUUUGAAAGACUUGUUUAAUUGACUGUACUUGUGUUCCUUAUUUGGUUGAACAAUAUUUAUGGUGUUCUUAUUGCCUUGUUUUUUAUAUUACUGGUUGUUUCUUGUUGCCAUCACUCCUAUUUGUUUUCCAUUAUUAUCGUAUAAUGCUAUAUUGCAUAGUUUAUUUGACUAGUGAGUAUCUUGACCUAAGUUGCUCCGACAUAGUGGUUUAGCUGUCGUACCCAUGUCGACACGAUAUUAGUAUGGGUGUGGGUCUGGGAUCCGUACAGAAUCUGGUAAAAUAAUUUGGGUACUUUGACCACGACGGACGAAAAAAGUCGAGACGAGGUACAAUUUGAAUCCCGAAAUCAAAACCAAAACUGGGGAAGAAAAUAACUUACUGUAUCUAGGAAAUCAAUCAUUUACUUAUCUACAACUUGAGAAUAAAAAAGAAAUCCACAUUUUACAAGUUAUAUGUAAGUAUUCCUCAAAUAUUUCUUAUAAUUUAGAGAUAGUUUUAUAUUUUUAUUUUCUUGAAUUAUUUUUAGCCGGGUCCCUGCACCCGUAUCCGUACUAGGAUUUCUAUACCCGAAUCUUAGAAUUUACAUAUCCGACCUCUAGAUUCGCACCCGUGUCGGACACCCACACCCGUGUCCGAGCAACAUAGGUCUUGGCUGUACCUUGUCACUACUCCACCGAGGUUAGUCUUGAUACUUAUUGGGUGCCGACUGUGGUGUACUCAUACUAUACAUCUGCACAUUUUUGUGUAGCACCAGGUAUUGGAGAUAUCGGACUCACGAAGAGUUAGUGUAUUGAUCGCAAGGGUUCAAGGUAGAGCUGCUUGGUCAUUGCAAUCCCUUGGAAUCUUUCCGUUUUAUUGUACUGUCAAAUAUUAUUCAAACAGUAAUGUAUAUUCGAUCCAUGAGAUUAUUUCAUGUAUUCAGUUAGAGUUUGUGACUCAGUAUUACCAGUCUUGGGAGGUUGUUAUAAUUGUUUCUGCUUUUGAUUUUGACACUUGUAUUAAAUUCUAUUUCAAAAAAAUGGCUUUAAUUAUUAUUGUAAUCGGCUUACCUAGUCUUAGAGACUAAGUGUCAUUACGACGCCUGCGGUUGGAUUUUGGAUCGUGACAAUAGUUUUAUCAAAGUUGGAAUAAACUUUAGGAAGGGUGUGUUUGUUUGUACAGGGGUGAUAUUUCGAGGGAGCCUGAGGUUGGGUCAAAGGGGUAGGUUGAGGGAUCUUUUCAACAGACUUUUUUGGGCUGGCAGAUCUGCGGUGUGGUGGAUUUCUGUGUUACUAAAUCUUUGCACAGGGGUUCAUUAGCAUUGGGUUGAGUUUCUAUGAUAACUAGACUAACAAGGGAAGCCUUAGAAUUCAAAUUACUAUUUUGCGUGUAAGAAUACCUGAUUCUUUGUAUUGAGUUGUCGAGGCAGCCUGCUGAUCUUUGGAUUGAAUGGGGUUGUUAGAAACAAUGUCCAUAGUAACAUGAGGCGCCUCCAAUUAGUUUGGAAUCAUGUGAUCAGCUGUAUCACCAUCUCCGACCAACUGUGACUUAGCUGAGUUUUGUAGGCAAUUAGAGCAAUCAAUUCCCACGUUGGAUUGAUGUGAAACUUUGAUGUGUAGAUCCUCAUGCUCCAAAAAAGAAUCUCCGUUGGAAUUGCCUGAAUUGAGCAAGAAUUAACGUUGGCAUUUUGUCGAACACCUGCAGCAUCCUCACGGUCUGGGCAUUCACUUUGAAAA
rnacentral:lncRNA from 1 species